rnacentral:lncRNA from 1 species
CCGGAUCACGGCUGGGCUCACAUCAAAGGUCUCCCAGCGCGUCACGUUGUGGUGCACCAACCGCGUGUCCAACAGGCGCGUAAUGGCCUGCGAGCGCUCCGACAGCGGCUUCAUCACUUCGUAAAUGUUUAUCCGGUGGAAGCCCCUCUCCCACGCCGCGCUCGGCUCCUCCACCUGCUCCCGGUACAGCCGCAGCUCCGCCGACGAGAUCACCUCGUUGUCCGGCACGCUGCUGAGGUUGAAGACGAAGCGGAUCCGCGGCACUUCGCUGGGACCCGGCACGCUCUCCAGGUGCUCUUCAUGGUGGAAGCUCCUCACGGUGUUGGCCCGGCUGGUCGAUCGCUCCGGGUACUGCAGGCUGAUCUCCUGGAGGCUCUCCUCCUCUUCUCCGGACUGGAGCCGGUAGAGAUCCAGCAUGUAACUGGGGAUGACGGCUGAUUUGCUGGGCUGGGGCCGCCUUCGCAGCCCAAACAUCUGCAGCAGAGUCGUUUCGAAACCCCGCAAGAGUUCAUGGCUUUGGGCAGAGCGGCGUCCGGAUCCGGCUUGUCCCUGAAGCUCUGCGACUUUCUUCCUGCCGGUCUCGGGGAUCAGGCUAGCAUGGUUGGUACCUCCCAGCAGGACUUGGCAUAGUAGGAUGACCAUCAGCAUUCGGUUACCAGGAAUCAUGGUGUCUCUGGGGUGUAAAAAACGCAACAACAAACGACAAGGAAAGUCAGGAUGAGAAGCGAGCCCCCCCCCGCCCCCCUCCUCUCCUCCUCCUCUUCCGAAGAAAGUUGAAAAAUACAAAAAAAUACAUGGCAAAGCGCGAUGAGAAGGAGCCGGCGGGGACAGGCGGCUCCCGGGGCAUCGCGGCCGCCGCGGGGCUGCGGGAAGGGGCGCGCGGCGCGGCGGGGCGCGGGGCUGCGGGUUCGAAUCCCGCUGCGGGACGCGGAGACAAAAAUAAAGUUAAAAAAGAAAAAAAAAAAAAAGAGAAAGAAAAAUUAAAAAAAAAAAGUAAAAUAACUAAAAAUAAUAAUAGUAAUAAAGGAUCGGCAUAAAAAAAUAAAAAUUAAAAAAAAAAGCCAAGGCGAGGAAGAAGAGGGCUGUACUCACUGACAGCAAGCAAGGCAUAUCAGCACAGUCCAUGAUUCUGGAGAGCCAGCGCGGACCCAGCGCGCCGAAAGCCUCCGGGGCAGCGGCUGCCGAGCGCCUCCCGCGAUCGCCGCCCGGGCGCAGUGCGACCGCCGCCGCCGCCGGCCCCCGUUUUCUCCCGGCCCCGCAGUCACGUGGAGCCGCUCAACCCCCCCCC